UACGGGGGGGGCAAGCGUUGUUCGGAAUUACUGGGCGUAAAGGGCGCGUAGGCGGCCAUCUAAGUCAGACGUGAAAUCCCUCGGCUCAACCGAGGAACUGCGUCUGAUACUGGAAGGCUUGAAUCCGGGAGAGGGAUGUGGAAUUCCAGGUGUAGCGGUGAAAUGCGCAGAUAUCAGGAGGAACACCGGUGGCGAAGGCGGGUCUCUGGGCAGUAACUGACGCUGAGGAGCGAAAGCGUGGGGAGCGAACAGG
rnacentral:rRNA from 1 species